rnacentral:rRNA from 1 species
CAGCCGCCACGGUAAUACGGAGGGUGCAAGCGUUAAUCGGAAUUACUGGGCGUAAAGCGCACGCAGGCGGUCUGACAAGUCAGAUGUGAAAUCCCCGGGCUUAACCUGGGAACUGCAUUUGAAACUGUCAGGCUGGAGUCUUGUAGAGGGGGGUAGAAUUCCAGGUGUAGCGGUGAAAUGCGUAGAGAUCUGGAGGAAUACCGGUGGCGAAGGCGGCCCCCUGGACAAAGACUGACGCUCAGGUGCGAAAGCGUGGGGAGCAAACAGGAUUAGAUACCCGAGUAGUCCCUGUCUCUUAUAA